rnacentral:lncRNA from 1 species
GACCCCCAGCGCCGCCCCCCCACACCUCCCCCCGCAAAACGACCCCCUCCGCCCCCCCCUCAACGACCCCCCCCCCCAACACUGCCCCACGUCUGACCGCCGGCCCCGUGGGGUGGAGGGCUGUGUGGGGCUGCGGGCGCUAUGGGGCAGAGCUGCCGCCCUUCUGCCCCCCUGAUACCGACUGGGGGGGGGGGUGGCUAUGGGGCAGCCCCCCAUCCUGCAUAGAACCCAAUCCUGAUGUCUCUAUGUGGGGCUGUGGGCGCUAUGGGGCAGAGCUGCCGCCCUUCUGCCCCCCCCAUCCUGGUGGGGGGAGGGCUAUGGGGCAGCCCCCCAUCCUGCAUAGAACCCAAUUCUGAUGUCUCUGUGUGGGGCUGUGGGCGCUAUGGGGCAGAGCUGCCAUCCUUCUGCCCCCCUGAUACUGGUUGGGGGUUGGGGGGGCGCUAUGGGGCAGCCCCUCCCCACACAUUGAACCCCAUUCUCACACCCGUAUAUGGGACUGUGGGCGCUAUGGGGCAGCGCUGCCUUCCUUCUGCCCCCCUGAUGUUGGUGGGGGGGGUGUCUAUGGGGCAGCCCCCCUAGCUUUGAGCCCCAUUCUCACACCCGUCUGUGGGGCAGUGGGCGCUAUGGGGCAGUGUCACCCUGCUUCUGACCCCCCCCGAUCUUGGUUGGGGGGUGUCUAUGGGGCAGCCCCCCUCCCCAUCUUUGCAUAGAACCCAAUUCUGAUGUCUCUGUGUGGGGCGGUGGGCGCUAUGGGGCAGAGCUGCCGCCCUUCUGCCCCCCCACCCCACAUUGAACCCAAUUUUCUUGUCUCUAUGCAGGGCGGUGGGCGCUAUGGGGCAGCUUCUGGACCCCCUGAUCCUGGUGGGGGGGGGGAACUGUGGGGCAGCCCCCCCCCCCCGCAUUGAACCCCAUUCUCACAUCCCUAUAUGGGGCCGCAGGCGCUAUGGGGCAGAGUCACCCCACUUCUGCCCCCCCCCCAUCCCAGUGUGGGGGGGUCUAUGGGGCAGUGUGGCCCCACUUCUGCCCCCCAUUACCCCCGUGGGGGGGGGGCUGUGGGGCAGCUCCCCCCUCUGCAUUCAACCCCCUUCUCAUAUCCCUAUAGGGGGCAGCGGGCGCUAUGGGGCAGUGCAGCCCCACUUCUGCCCCCCCCCCGCCCUUAUCCCAACGGGGGGCCUAUGGGGCAGCCCCCCUGCAUUCAACCCCAUCCUCAUAUCCCUCUAUGGGGCAGCGGGCUCUAUGGGGCAGCCCCCCCCCACACCCCCACCCCGUUAUGGGGAAAGGGGGUCUCACCCCCCCCACCCCGCCCCCCCCAGGGCUGUCCAUAACCCAUACGUAGGUAGAGCCCGGGCCGGGGGGGACCGCUCCGGUUUGGCGUUUCCCGGCUAAUUACCAUGUUAAUGAGGACCCCCCCCCCCGCUACGCCGCCUAUGCACCCCCGCACCCCCCAGCGGGGGGGGCACAGCACUUCUGCUCGGGGUCCCUCGGGGGGGGGGAGGGCGCGGGGGGGGACCCCGCUAUGGGGGGGGGGGGGGGGGGGUUGGGGGAUGGGGAGGGGGG